rnacentral:rRNA from 1 species
AGUCGAACGCGAAAGCGGGGCAACCCGCAAGUAGAGUGGCGAACGGGUGAGUAAUACAUCGGAACGUGUCCAGUAGCGGGGGAUAACCUCUCGAAAGAGAGGCUAAUACCGCAUACGACCUACGGGUGAAAGAGGGGGAUCGCAAGACCUCUCACUAUUGGAGCGGCCGAUGUCGGAUUAGCUAGUUGGCGGGGUAAAAGCCCACCAAGGCGACGAUCCGUAGCUGGUCUGAGAGGACGACCAGCCACACUGGAACUGAGACACGGUCCAGACUCCUACGGGAGGCAGCAGUGGGGAAUUUUGGACAAUGGGCGCAAGCCUGAUCCAGCCAUGCCGCGUGAGUGAAGAAGGCCUUCGGGUUGUAAAGCUCUUUCGGCUGGGACGAAAAGGUCCGUGUCAACACCACGGAUCCAUGACGGUACCAGCAGAAGAAGCACCGGCUAACUACGUGCCAGCAGCCGCGGUAAUACGUAGGGUGCAGGCGUUAAUCGGAAUUACUGGGCGUAAAGCGUGCGCAGGCGGUUUGCUAAGACAGGUGUGAAAUCCCCGGGCUUAACCUGGGAACUGCGCUUGUAACUGGCAAGCUGGAGUGUGGCAGAGGGGGGGUGGAAUUCCACGUGUAGCAGUGAAAUGCGUAGAGAUGUGGAGGAACACCGAUGGCGAAGGCAGCCCCCUGGGCUAACACUGACGCUCAUGCACGAAAGCGUGGGGAGCAAACAGGAUUAGAUACCCUGGUAGUCCACGCCCUAAACUAUGUCAACUGGUUG